rnacentral:lncRNA from 1 species
GCCCCAUCCACGCCCGCACAUCGGCCUCUCACUUGUCUGAGUCCAGGGCUCCUACAAUCUCUUAAGAAACUCCUUGGCUCAGGGGUCACAGGGCCAGUGAAUCUCAGCCACCUCGGACUCCCGCAGCUGACAGGACAGGGUGUCAGGAAGAAAGGCCAGUAACGUCUGCUUCAACCCCUCGUGCUCCUGUUUGAACAGUUCUGACUGCGCCCAUGGUCCUGAUUCGCUAAUUCUCAGAAACCCAAUGGGGAGCCCGGAGCAACGGAAUAAGCAACCAGAUGAUCAGGAUCCCAAAUGGCACUUCGCAGCAGAUUUUCUCAGCAAGGGCUUCCUGUGACCUUAAUUACAUUUAAAUAGAGCUUGUACCUGGCUUUGCAGAGCCAAUCUGCUUCUGACCCUGUUUUUGACCCUGGAGAAAAAGAAGGGCUGUCUAGGCCAGGCAAGACGCACAGGGACAGGACAGUGAGAGGAUGUCAAGCUUGAGGAGUUUGGCAUGAGGCAGUCAGUUGACUUUAUGGCCAGCUUUUUGCCAAAAUUUUCUGUGAAUCUAUUCAAUUUUAGCAAAGAAAAGGAAGAGAAUACUAUUAUCCAAUGCAUACAGAAACUGAAGGCACAUUAUGGUUGAGGUAUGCACCCAGCCCAUUGAUGCCAUUACUCUACUGAAGAUGUAAUAUGACCUGCUGCCUCAUGUUCCUGCUCCCUUGACUUCUCCAUCAGGAAGAAUUGUAUCUUGAAUUAAGUCUUAUAUUUUGAAGAGGAAAGGCCUUUGUCCUGUUAGUGAGAAAAUUACAAGAAGAACAUCACUGUGGUGUUCAAAAGCAGAAGAUGUCAGGUAUACUUCCUGUAUCAAGGUGCGAGGAAAUAAACCACCUAUUUUCUGUCCCUUUCCUAGGAAGCAUAGAAUUCAUGUGCUUGAGGCUCCUGGUGACAUUGAGCCAACUCAAUCCACAAGUGCUGCUGACUGCAGGGCUCCUGCUGACAUAGAACCAACUCCUUCACAACUUGCUCCUGGCAGGGGUGCUCCUGCUGAUGUUGAGCCAACUCAUUCCACCUGUGCUGCUGACACCAGGAUUCCUGCUGAAAUAGAACCAAGUCCUUCACAAUGUGCUCCUGACAGUCCUGCUCCUUCUGAUAUUGAGAAAAUUCAUUCCCCAUGUCCUUCUGACAGUUCUGAAUCUGAUGAAAAACAUGACUCAGAAACAGGUAGUGACAUUGGGUUGGAUUCAUAACUGAUUCAGAUUUUUACAUGGAGCAUGCAAGGGCCACACCCCAUUGUGACCCAGAGCCUACUCCUGGUACCUGCACUUGCUGUUCCCUAGAUUCCAUUGAAAGAACUGACCUGAAUGUUCUGACACUGCUUGGAGCAUAAGACAAGUAUGCUAUUCUUUCUUCAGGUGAGGAACCCAGUCCUUUUCCUGACCUAGAUGAAGAUCUAGCUGAGAAUUUUUAUGACGCUUUAGAGUCAGCCGAUCACACUGGUUAUAGUGGGUCCACUGUCCAGGAACCUGGGUUUUUUUGGGCACCAGAUAUGCUACUGCUGCCGGUAAUGCCCUUGAUGUGAUUUCUUACAUUCCUGUUAUCAAUGAUGACGUGGAUUAGAAAUCGAAUUCAACAAGUGUGGUUUGAAGAAAAUGGCCAAGGACCUUCCUCCAACAGAAAAGAUAAACCCGGUAAGUUAGACAACAGUACUUACUUAAAAUAGAUGAACUUUUAUUUUAGAUAGAAAAGUAGAUCUCUUUGGUACUAAUAGUCAUGAUUAAUACAUUUCAAUGCUAUUUAAGCAUUACCUAGAACCAGAAAAAAUUGUUUCCUUUUCCCAACUUAAUGAAAAUACUUCACAUAGUGUAACAAAGCCAGUUUAGACCAACACAACUGACCAUGUAAAGUUGAUUGGUACUUGGUUGUCUCCCAUUCUGGAAUGAGGAAAUUUUUUUCAGUCCCAGGGAAUACCUUGUGUUUUUUGAAUGGCUAAGCAGAGAAAUCUUCCUGUUAAACAUUGGUGUCUAUUUAUCUCUGCUCUUCUGAACUCUGACUUGUGAGGAUUCUAUCAGCCUGGAAACAAACAUUCCAAAGGAAGCGACAUCUGAGAAUAAAAUUAACAAAACAA